rnacentral:rRNA from 1 species
GUCUAUGGCCAUACUACCCUGAACACACUCAGCCUCCUCUGAUCACGGAAGCUAAGCACGGGCGGGCCUGGUUAGUACUUGGAUGGGAGAAAUAUAGUAUGGAAAGUAAAGGACCAUAAUAA